UUUCAAGCACCACUGUAAGAGUUACCCUCAUCUUAACUGAGCAGCAAACUUUGCUACAGGUUUUAUUUAUGCAAAGUAGCAGUUAGCCUAAAAUGAAUAUACUUGCUAGCAAAAUGGCUGUUAGUUAGUUUCAAUUACACACUAUGACACUUAGCCAAUAGUAGCUAGUGUACUAGCAAACGGCUACAGGUCAAACCUGACUAGUGGUUUUAAUUACACUUGAGUAGUUAGCAUAAAUAGCUAAUCUGCUAUCGGGUUUGGCUACUGCUUUUAAGAUAGAGAUAAAUGAAUAGUAGUAAAAUGGUUGUCAAGUCUUAUACUAUAUAUUUAGCUUGCAGUAUAUAACACUAGUGUUUAUUGCUGGUGGUUUGCAAUAAAGCUCAACCAAAACAGGAAAUAAAUAUUUACAUUUAAAAAACCUUAAUGAAUGUAUGAAGUCUGUAACAAAGCAUUUUUUUGAAAAAUCUGUUGAACAUAAUGCAUAUUACAGAUUAUUUUAUUUACAUAGACGUGUGUCUCUCCAUAAACUUUAAUUGGCUAAGAACUGAGGGAGUGAUGAUGUAAUAUUAGUAGCUAGCAGUGGCUAUUAUUAAUGUUCUGGCAUGUUAGAAAAUGUUCAGCACUUUGGAAAGCUCAUAUUGUGGAUAAAGUCAAAUAUUAUUAGCAUUAAAUACAGCUAAUUAUUUCUCGUCAUCCAUCCAUCCAUCCUGAAGCUGAACCCCCGCAAAGCAGCACGUCCCGACUCAGUCUCACCAUUUACCCUGAAGCACUGUGCUGAUCAGCUGUCUCCGGUGUUCACAGACAUCUUCAAUACCUCACUGGAGUUAUGCCAUGUGCCAGCCUGCUUCAAGGCCUCCACCAUUACCCCCAUCACCAAAAAGCUAAGGAUCACAGGAUUAAAUGACUACAGUCCCAUCACCCUGACUUCUGUGGUUAUAAAAUCCUUUGAGCGCCUUGUGCUUUACCAUCGCAAAGCCAUCUUUGACCUGCUCCUGGACCCUAUGCAGUUUGCCUACAGACCCAAUAGAUCUGCAGACGAUGCUGUCAGCAUGGCUCUUCAUUUCAUCCUCCAGCACCUAGGCUCUCCAGGAACCUAUUGCUAGGAUCUUGUUUGUGGAUUUCCGUUCCGCCUUCAACACUAUCAUCCCGGCUUUUCUGCAGGACAAGCUCUCCCAGCUGAGCAUGCCUGGAUUCACCUGCACUCUUCUUCCUGUACACCAACAGCUACACCUCCAAUCAUCAGUCUUUCAAGCUCCUAAAGUUCGCUGAUGACACCACUCUCAUUGGACUCAUCUCUGAUGAGGAUGAGUCUGCCUACAGGUUCACCAUCUGGUGUCCUGGUGCAGACAGAACAACUUGGAGUUUAAACGCUCUAAAGACAGUGGAGAUGACUGUAGACUUCAGGAGGAUCUCUCCCACACCCUCCCCCAUCACCCUGUUUGACUCCUCAGUCACCUCUGUGAAGUAUUUCCGCUUCCUGGGCACUAUAAUCACUCAGGACCUUAAGUGGGAGACAUAUACCUGCUCUCUCACCAAGAAAGCACAGCAGAGGAUUUACUUCCUGCAGCAAUUGAAGUUUGAUCGGCCAAAGACAAUGAUGGUGCACUUUACACUGCCAUCAUCAAGCCCAUCCUCACUUCCUCCAUCAUCGUCUGGUACGCUGCUGCCACUGCCAGGAACAAGGGCAGACUGCAGCGCAUCAUUCACUCUGCUGAGAGGAUGAUUGGCUGCAACCUUCUGUCUCUUCAGGACCUGUAUGUGUCCAGGACUCUUUGGAGAGCAGAAAGGAUUGUGGCUGACCCCUCUCACCCCGCACCCUGGGCACAAACUUUUCGAAUUACUCCCUUCUGGUAGGAGGUUGUGGUCCAUUAGAACCAAAACCUCACAUCAUAAGGCCAGCUUUUUCCCCACUGCAACUGGCCUCAUCAAUAAAGUCAGAGACCCCCACUGACUCUAACCUUAGACUUUCAUUCUGUAACAUUAAUGCACUCUGUCUCUGAACUGCAAUUUUGCACAUUUCAAGGUCAUGUCAUACAUCUCCAUUCUGUGAACCUUUAUUGCACAUUCCGGCACAUACUGUACAGCUUGGUUAUUGACUUAGCCCAUUACACAUUAUUCUCUUCCUUUCAUGCAUUCUUAUCAUAUGUCUUCUCUAUCUUCAUCAUGUGACCUAUUUUUGCACAUACUGGACAUACUGUACAGUUUGGACUUCAACAACUCAUGCACAUAACCCUUAAAUUUGUCCACUUUUCAAAUUUGUAUAUUUCAGAUUCUUCUAUUUUUUAUUCUAUGUAUAUAGCUACUUUUGUCUUUGCUAAAUUCUUCUAUUUUAAUGGUUUAAGCACCAGUCACCAAACCAAAUUCCUUGCAUGUGAGAACAUACUUGGCAAUAAACUUGAUUCUGAUCCAUCCAUUAUCUACACUGCUUAUCCGUCAGGCUUGUGGGGGAAGCUGGAGCCAAUCCUGGCUGACUUCAGGUCACCAGUCUAUCAUAGGACUAACACAGAGAUGAACAACCAUCACACUAACAUUCACACCUCUGGGGGAUUUAGAGGAGCCAGCUGACUGAAUUCACAUGUCUUUGGACUGUUGGAGGAAAUCAGGGCACCCAGAGGAAACCCACACAGGGACAAGGAGAACAUACAAGCUCCAUCCAGAAAGACCGCAGUCAGCCACGUGGUUCAAACCUUCUUGUUGUGAGCCAAGCAGCCAUCAUGCUGCCCUCCUUUUAACGUCUAUGAAUUGAUUUCAGACUCCACAGCUUGUACAGUAAUAUGUUAAGUGUCUACUGAACAUGUCACUGGUCAAUGUGUUGAGGUUAUAUCAAGAAGCAGCCACCUUUGGGGCAAAUACAGGGCAGACUUCCAGAUUUCCAUCCAGCAGGGUGUGAUCAAGCAAAACACACUUUUUUUCAAUUGAUCCAUCAAUCCAAAUUGUUGGAUUGUUACAACAGUAACCAUGUAUUUCUUUCUUCUGAGAAAGGAUCUGGACCAUGAAUUUAUAAUUAAUAAAUAAUUUAAAAUUUACAUUUUUAAAUUGAUAUGAACUUUCUUGAUUGUAGUGGCACCUGUGUCAUUGUGGUGGUUGUGUGUUUAUUCAUUACAAUUUCAGUCUCUCGUUAUGUUAGUUAAACUUCAUAACAAAAGCUGACUCCUGUAGACUGAAAAUAAACACAGGCCAUAAGGUGAACCUCGAAAAGUCCUUCCGAAAAGGGAUCCUGCUCCGACCUCUCUGAACCGCACACACUUCAGUUCAUAAAAAAGAAUGAGUUGUGGUAAGAUUACAACAAAACAGUUCGCGUCACAGAAUCACGCUCAUUUCUUAAAUCGCAACAUUUAAUGAAGAACUAGUAUCUCCAAGGCGUAUAUACAUAUUCGGCAGGCGUAAUAACACUUUGGCUCGCGAGAGGUGCCACGGUUGAAACGUCAUCAGACUGGACGAAUCGGGUAGCUGGUAACUACCAGCUGUGCUAGGUAAACAGAAGCAGCAUGGCAGCCACCGGAGUAGCAGUGCUAUCAUCCAGCAGUACCGAAGAAGAAGAAAACUCGGCCGAAACUGUUUAAAAAACUAAAUCUUCGACACGUAAGACUUGUUAUAUGCACAUAUCUUCUGUGAAGCAUGAAAAAACACAGAAUUUCACCAGCAUACGGUGGAAUACUUACCGAAACAGCCUUCGGCAGUGGCUGGAGUUGAGGGUGAGUGCAGAGACGAAUCCGAACAUUACAAACACUGUCUUGACUUGGAUUUUGAUAAAAUUCCCGAAGACGCGGCUUUCCAUCCCACAUGUUACCGGAGGUUCAUUGACAAGCGCGAAAUUGAAAGAGCAAAAAGGCAUCUCGUGCGAGAGAAAGAGCGUGGAGAUGAUAAACAAGACCCCCAGACCAGCGAGGCUAUCCCUGCAACGGUGACUGGCACGACUCCGACAAGGAAACUUCGUUCCAGAUCAAGCCUGCCCAUCUCGAGCUCUGCCCCCGUCCUUCCUGCCAUCUGUAUAAUAUGCAAGAAAACCUGCAAAUAUCUCGUCAAGGCUGGCAGACGACAAAAAGAAGCUUUGUCAAAGACACAGACUUUAACCGCAGACUUGUGCAGGUGUUCCAGCUGUUCGAACACAAAGGAAACAGAAGAGAAAGAUGAUAACUGCCCUGACACUGACAGUGAGGAAUAGCAUGUCAUGUGGUUUUUACCUCUAUGGAAUACCUCUAUGGAAUCAUUGAUAUCAUUAUCAUUCAUUUUAUUAUGAUGUUUAUUUAUAUAUGUAUAUAAGUUUAUGCCAGUCAAUGUAUACUUAUGAUUUUUUUAUGUGUUGUAUAUAGUUGAGUGAAUAAAUGAACAAAUGAAUACCUGAAUGUUCCUUAUC